AACACAUGCAAGUCGAGCGAGGAUAUUGGGGAGCUUGCUUCCUGGUAUUCUAGCGGCGGACGGGUGAGUAACGCGUGAGCAAUCUGCCUCUGACAGGGGGAUAACGCAUCGAAAGAUGUGCUAAUACCGCGUAAGACCACAGUGCCGCAUGGCACAGGGGUCAAAGGAGCAAUCCAGUCGGAGAUGAGCUCGCGUCCGAUUAGCUAGUUGGUGAGAUAACAGCCCACCAAGGCGACGAUCGGUAGCCGACCUGAGAGGGUGAUCGGCCACAUUGGAACUGAGAGACGGUCCAGACUCCUACGGGAGGCAGCAGUGGGGAAUAUUGGGCAAUGGGCGAAAGCCUGACCCAGCAACGCCGCGUGAGGGAAGAAGGGUUUCGGCUCGUAAACCUCUGUCCUAUGGGACGACGAACGACGGUACCAUAGGAGGAAGCCCCGGCUAACUACGUGCCAGCAGCCGCGGUAAUACGUAGGGGGCGAGCGUUGUCCGGAAUGAUUGGGCGUAAAGGGCGCGUANGCGGCCUGUUAAGUCUGGAGUGAAAGU
rnacentral:rRNA from 1 species